rnacentral:rRNA from 1 species
CCUACGUGUGGCUGCAGUAGGGAAUCUUCCACAAUGGGCGAAAGCCUGAUGGAGUAACGCCGCGUGAGUGAAGAAGGUCUUCGGAUCGUAAAACCCUGUUGUUAGAGAAGAACGUGCGUGAGAGUAACUAUUCACGUUUCGACGGUAUCUAACCAGAAAGCCACGGCUAACUACGUGCCAGCAGCCGCGGUAAUACGUAGGUGGCAAGCGUUAUCUGGAUUUAUUGGGCUUAAAGGGUACGUAGGCGGUCUUUUAAGUCUGAUGUGAAAGCCUUCGGCUUAACCGGAGUAGGGCAUUGGAAACUGGAAGACUUGAGUGCAGAAGAGGAAAGUGGAACUCCAUGUGUAGCGGUGAAAUGCGUAGAUAGAUGGAGGAACACCAGUGGCGAAGGCGACUCUCUGGUCUGUAACUGACGCUGAGGUUCGAAAGCGUGGGGAUCAAACAGGAUUAGAUACCCCUGUAGUC